AACGUAGGACGCGAGCGUUAUCCGGAGUUACUGGGCGUAAAGCGCGGGCAGGCGGUCUGACAAGUCUGAUGUGAAAUCCCCGGGCUUAACCUGGGAACUGCAUUUGUGACUGCGCAGCUAGAGUACGGUAGAGGGGGAUGGAAUUCCGCGUGUAGCAGUGAAAUGCGUAGAUAUGCGGAGGAACACCAAUUGCGAAGGCAGCUCGCUGGGACGUUACUGACGCUGAGACGCGAAAGCGUGGGGAGCAAACAGG
rnacentral:rRNA from 1 species